rnacentral:sRNA from 1 species
GCCAGGUGUGGUGAUGCACACCUGUAAUCCCAGCGGCUCUGGAGGCUGAGGCAGGACAAAGCAGCCUCAG